rnacentral:rRNA from 1 species
AUGAAGACGGGCCGUACUGGGCCUCUGCUUGAGCCACGCCGCAGACCGCAGGCAGGCAAGUCUGGGGACCCCCGUUCCCAGAACGCCGACAGUAGCCCCCAGGCCCAAGGCACGCUCGGACUUGGCUUAGCAGCAAAGCGAAAGGGCAAGUGCGGAGCACCACGGGCCCCAACAGCCUGCGGCCUUGGUUGCCGCGUGGCGGUUGAUUGGACGUGGGCGUCUCCGCUUCCCCACGCUCCCCCAAUAUCCGCUUGGCUAGGCGGCCAUGAAACUGUACACAGUUAUUCUCUCCUUGCUGCCCGCAUGCUUCCUGUUCCCCUUUCUUCCUUGAGUCUCUAUUUCCGCCUCCAAUCCGACUGGAGCUCUGCCCCCUUCCGUUGCCAUGGCGCCAACAAAAAAGGAGAAAGGGAAGAAGCACGCGCCUUCGGCCAGCUCGCCUCUGGCAAUCGCGCCCGCCGUCGGCCGGUCGCUGAUACUCAAUCUGGAAGCCUUGGCCAAGGUCCGCUCUGCCCUCGCCUCCAGCUUCAACGAGUGGAAGGACGACGGCUUGGCCCGCGUCCCAUGCCUCCUUCGACAGGAUCGUCACAGAGGUUUGAUUCUUUGCCGAUGCCCUGUGGGCUGGCCUGGUUCCUCCCUUCUCUGCCUUCUUCAAUGCGGUGCUUUCCCACUACCAGAUCCACAUGA